GUGAACGCUGGCGGUAGGCCUAACCCAUGCAAGUCGAACGGCAGCACCGUAAGAGCUUGCUCUUACGGGUGGCGAGUGGCGGACGGGUGAGGAAUACAUCGGAAUCUACUUUUUCGUGGGGGAUAACGUAGGGAAACUACGCUAAUACCGCAUACGACCUACGGGGGGAAGCAGGGGGUCUUCGGACCUUGCGCGAUUGAAUGAGCCGAUGUCGGAUUAGCUAGUUGGCGGGGUAAAGGCCCACCAAGGCGACGAUCCGUAGCUGGUCUGAGAGGAUGAUCAGCCACACUGGAACUGAGACACGGUCCAGACUCCUACGGGAGGCAGGAGUGGGGAAUAUUGGACAAUGGGCGCAAGCCUGAUCCAGCCAUACCGCGUGGGUGAAGAAGGCCUUCGGGUUGUAAAGCCCUUUUGUUGGGAAAGAAAAGCAGCAGGUUAAUACCCCGCUGUUCUGACGGUACCCAAAGAAUAAGCACCGGCUAACUUCGUG
rnacentral:rRNA from 1 species